rnacentral:rRNA from 1 species
UACGGAGGAUCCAAGCGUUAUCCGGAUUUAUUGGGUUUAAAGGGUGCGUAGGCGGCUUAUUAAGUCAGGGGUGAAAGACGGUAGUUUAACUAUCGCAGUGCCCUUGAUACUGAUGAGCUUGAAUACACUUGAGGUAGGCGGAAUGUGACAAGUAGCGGUGAAAUGCAUAGAUAUGUCACAGAGCACCAAUUGCGAAGGCAGCUUACUAAAGUGUGAUUGACGCUGAGGCACGAAAGCGUGGGGAUCAAACAGG